rnacentral:lncRNA from 1 species
AUGGGCUUACCAUGGCCCCAGGGAGCCUUUUGCUACAGUGAACAGGCCCAACUCCUCGCCUCCAGCAGAAGUGACAGCAGCUCCCUGCAGGGCCACCUCCUCAUAUCAAGGCAGGAUAUGGGCCUCAGACCUGAACAGGUUCUCUGCCAAAUAUUCUACUCAACUUGUGGGGAGACGCUGACACCAAGGCAAUAUGCCAUAUGGGGAAGACGGGAGAGUGUGCAAAGCUGUAGCACAACUGAAAUUAAGACUGUAGUUACCUUGAUGCCAGAAAUCCUGUUUGUGGGGACAGCUAAGCGGACCUGCGUUUAAGCAGCUGGACUUUCUCCAGUCCUCC